rnacentral:lncRNA from 1 species
UCCACAUCGAUUUUGAUUAAUUUGAUCAACAAUUUUGUUAUCCCAAAAAUAAUCAACUCCCUGCACAUCACAAAAAUAAAUGAGGGUAUAGUUAAUAAAUUAAAGUGAGUAUGCAAAUGACAAAUGAUAUAAAAAAACAAGUAAAGCAUACAUUUGUUGUACUUAUAGUUGAUCCAUUUUGAUGAACCUGAUUGGCCAUACAAUUGUACUUCCUAAUGCAUCUUUAAGAAGAAAUAGCCCACGUGUGGGACGAUAUAAGGUAACAUUGUCAAUCACUUCAUUAACCCAACUCUCCAACAUUCAUCGCCAAG